rnacentral:lncRNA from 10 species
CUCUCUAGCUCAAGUGAUCCUCCCACCUCAGCCUCCCAAGUUGCUGGGACCACAGAUGCACACCACUAUGCCUAACUAAUUUAAAUAAUUUUUUUUGGUAGAAGCUGGGAUCUCACUAUGUUGCCCAGGCUGGUCUGAACUUCUAGGCUCAAGCAAUCCUCCCACCUCGGCCUCUAAAAGUGCUGGCAUUAUAGGUGUGAGCCACCACGACCGGCCCAUUUGGACACUUAAUACUGGUUCAGCAGAACUGAAUGAAUUUAAUUGGAGAGGAAGUUGGGGUGAAGUCUAGGCCUCUGACUAUAAUGAGAGGUUUGGCACUGAGGGGAGGCAACAGAACAGGGAGUACAAAUUAGGAUGAAUUAAUGACAUGCUGGCAGGAGCUUGAGUAAAGGAAGAAGAGCAGAGGGCCAGGGCCUGAAGUUUGGGUGUCUUACCACAGAGCUAAAGAAGAGUGGGCAAUGGUAGACUAAACUAGAGAAGAAGAGGAGAGAAAGGCACAGAGGAACUUCAGCAACGGAAUGCCAGGGAAGGCAAGGGAGCUGAGGGUUUGGGCAGUUGCAUCCAGUGUAGGGAAGAAGAUCAGGGAGAUAGACAGGCAAAAAGCCAUGGCAACAAGGAAGUAGUUAGGGACUUUCAGAGGAAGUAUGAGAAAAGGAGAGGAAGGUCAUAGGUCUGAAGUUUAGCAGUGCAGUAGGGGGCACUGGAAUACUAUCUUGGGGGUAUGAGUGAGUGCUUUUUCAGGGGUCCUACUUGGGAGAAACAUAGAUAGACAUUCAUUUAAUAUUCAUCCAUUUCUUUCCAG